GCCUGUGUUGCUCAGUGGACAGAGCGUCGGCCUGCAGACUGAAGGGUCCCGGGUUCGAAUCCCGGUCAAGGGCA
rfam:Myotis lucifugus cont2.68203, whole genome shotgun sequence.